GCCCAGCGUGUGGCAGGGGCAGGGGCAGGGGCAGGGCUCUGCUGGGGCCAUAAGCUGCGGAACUGCACCUGCGAGGAGGAUCCCAUUCAAGGACCGGUUUUAUAAACGCUGUAGGUUCCACUUGGGGUUUUUCCUGCCCCGGCUCCUGCCUCCCGCCCCCCCCCCCCCACUGACUUGCAGGGAUACUGGGGCAGCCAGAUGCUUGAGGUGAAGAAGAUAUAUGCUUUGGGUGGGUUGCCCAUCGCCAAGGGUGACACGAUGGGCCUGGGGCCUGGGGUGGGGCUGGCGGACCGCUCCUGAGCAGGCUGUCAAUGUCGCUGGGGGCAGGCAGCCUACCUGUGUGAGUGUGCGUGCGCGUGCACACACGCUGUGUGUAUGUGUGUGCGAGUAUGCAUGUGAGUGUGCAUAUGGGUGUACAAUGCCGUGUGCAAGUGAGUGUGCGUGCGCCUGUGUGCUUAGUCCCCGUGGCCUCCCUGCAGGAGCGUGUGCGGUAGCGAGGUGGGCAUCCUUCCUCCCAGCCGGGCGGAGGGACGCUGGGGGUCUGCAGGGCGAGGGGGUCCUCCAGCUGUCCUCACAGUCAGGUGACCGAGUGAAUCAGUUCUGGCCCAGAGGGCCAGUCCUGGGGGCCAGGCCCAGAGAGCCACGCCAAAGACCUGGCCGGACACUCCUUGUGGAUAUUCUUGGGGACCUUCUCGGGGUGCCGGCCAGCCCGCACUAUCAGCGGGGAGGUCCGCACGGGCAGGUGCAGGCGGAGCCCCAAGCUGGACGCCUGGGGUCCUGGAUGGGCGCUCGUCACCUGGACCAUCUGUUGUCAGCCCUCAUGUGGCAGGCGGGGACCCGAGGCCUGCGGGAGAGAAGGCGGCUGCCUGGGAGAUGGACACGGUCUGAUCUGAGCAGAAUAUGUUCGAUUGGGAGACCCGAGGGCAUCGCCCAGAUGCUGGCAGACGGAGUCCCUGGGCGGCUCGGGGGCCACGCCCCCACCCACGACAGCCCUGGUAGAAGUGAGGAGGCUGGCUGACGGCUGAGCAUCCCCAGGAAGACCCGGCACUUCUCUGAUGCACCCCGAGGACCUCGUGCUCCCCCCUCGGGGAGGGCAGGCGGGUUUGGCCCGGUUAGAACUGCCCGCAGCUUCUGGGACAGGUUGAGGGCAGCGGCCUCGCUGUGCGUGGCCUCCUGAUGCUCGGCCCUCCCCCCACCCCAGGUCGGCCAGCCUGAUCUGUAGACUUGAGGACCCGGAACACACCCCCCACCCCCUUCCCGCCUCUGGGAAGCUGAGCUGGCCUUUCCUCGGGUGGGAGGGCGCUGCCAUCCUGGUGGCCGCUGGGGGAGCAGCGGCCUGGCCUGGGGGAAGGGCUCCCGGGCCGGCCACAGACUGGGGGCGCAGUCCUGCCACACCGGGCCCCCUCCUUGAGCUCCCGUCCACCCCGUCUCAGCCAGGGCUGACCUGCCUGUGCGGGAUGUGACGGCUCGGGAAAGAACACUGGGCCCCAGAGCUCGGAAGGUGCUAGAGAGAGAGACAGCGAGGCGGUCAGGGGAAGUCUCUGGUCCUGCCGAGAUGGACGUGGGUGCCCACCCGGAACUGUGGUGGCCAGACCGUGGACUCUGCCGGUUUCGAUCCUGCCCUGUCACUUUCCAGCUGGCCCUGACCCUGGGCAGGUGCCUGCCUCCCCCACACUUCUGGUGCCUCAGCUGGGGUGGUACUCUCACCUCCCACUCGGGGGGCGUCGGAGAGGAUCGAAUGAGUUCACACAGGGAGCGCGAACCUUGAGCCACAGUCCCGUGGAGGUGUCUGCAGGGGAGGGUGUCUCAGAUUCCAGGGGAUUCAGAUGGCCUUUUUAUUCAUCUGCACGUGUGAAUUUGUCUACAACACACGUGAAUGGCGGGGGCCAUUUUUGAAAAGGUUAAACGGUUGCUUUGCACAAACUAGAUUCGUCACCUGUGUGUUGCCUACGUGGUAAAAAAUGACGAAAAGUUAAUAAAACAGAAAACUCUUGGGGCGCCUGGGUGGCG
ensembl:lncRNA